GACAAGUCUGGCUUUGGAAAGAAUGAGCUCUUCAACUUCACAGAUCUAGGAAGCAUAAGGCAUCUAUCUGUCUAUGAAGGGGGCUGCACUCUCCCCUGGGGUCUGGUUGUCUCUCCUCUGGGAUGGACACUAUCUUUGUCAUGCUUGCAAUUUGAAUUUUUGGAUAUUGAAUACCAGCCCUUCUUGACCAGCAAAGAGCAUUUUCAGAAUAGAUUCCACAGGUCAGGAGGAGGUUAUGUUAACCAAGAAAAUGUCAUCUUCAGCUCCCUGCCAAGACUACAGCAUCUGUAAAGGCAGAAACCUACUUCAGUCUACAUUCACACUGCUGUCCUUGGCUUCAGAUGCUACUCUGGGGUUUCAGAAAGUGCUUGGGAUGCUCACUAUCUUCUCUUACUUAUUGUUGGAAACCGUAACAUUAGUACAAGUAAAAAGCAUUGAGGUGGUUGAGAUGGGAGCAAUGAUCAACUGGGCAUUGUCUGCUCUAGCUGUCUGCUUCUAGCUGUUGAACUCUGCCUACUAGACCAUUCUGCUGAAGACUUUCUACCAACCCUGCUUCAGAGGGUCUGUCUCUUAUCAAGAACUCUCAUUUACAAACCAACCAGCCUGUUGAGAUCCUAGCUAACUAGAUAGCAAAUUCACCAAAUUCCAUCCAGAAACACUUGAGCAUGAAUCCUUAUGGUUGAGUGGGAGACAAAGUAGAGCUCAGAGACUUGAAUUUUAAAUUCUUGGCUCUUCUAGAGACCUGGAUCCCUGGGCAAGUUUUUGCCUCAUUUGCCUUAUGUAUAUAAAUGAGAUUUUAUCUAUAAACUUAGAAUAUCUGCCUAAUGUAUUACUUUUGAGUACUUUGAGUAAAUUGGAAGUCACUAGCAAUGCAUGCUAAUAAGGGUUGCAAAAAAUGAAGAUUAGAUUAAAUAAAUGAAGAUUGGAUUAAAUAAAAGUGGCAUCCAUUUGUCCAAAUAACCAACAGCUUCAAGUUUCUGGCCCCAAGAGGUUUAGGCACGUAAUUCCAUCACCCUUCUUUAACCUGAAGGCCAUUGUUGAGUCAUGAUAGCUAUAUCUACAUUCCAGUCUUUAUCAAAUAUAUACUUAUGCGUAUUUGACAAACAUAUGUACAAUGCACACAUAUGCAUAAAUCAAUUUGACAUAUGCAUACAUCUAUGCAUUGGAUGUAGUAGUAUAUAUUUGGUCCUGGUCUAUGAUUGUGUCUACAUAUGGAAAUUCCGGUGUAGAAACUUCUGCCCUCUAUCAAUGCAGAUCAGAAUCUCAUCUCCAAAUUGGGCAAUUCUUCUGUAACUUAUAGAGUCACAGAAAACAAACAAAUGAAAAUUAAAUAAAGCACAAUUAAUUUAUUAGUUAUAGUGAUGUUUUAGUUAGAACUUUUAAAAAACUAAACAUUCAUAUUUUCAAAUAUUCCAUGAAAAUUCUGAUAAGGUGUUUUAGUUUGUUCUGGCUAUUUUUCUUAUUUAUGUAUCUCAUAUUGAAAAGUUCACUGAGUUACCCAUGAUCAUACAGUUACUACAUAUUCGAGAUAGGACUUGAACCCAGAUAAGUCUUCUAUCAACCAUGUCACUCCAUGAUACCUCUGAUUGUAGUAUAUAGUAUAGUAUAGUACAGUU